AAAUGUGAAGCGAUUAUUGCAUUUAGUUUCGACCUAAAAUUAUGGUGAUUUCACCCCAUUUAUU
rnacentral:tRNA from 1 species